rnacentral:rRNA from 1 species
AGUGAACGCUGGCGGUAGGCCUAACACAUGCAAGUCGAACGGCAGCACAGUAAGAGCUUGCUCUUACGGGUGGCGAGUGGCGGACGGGUGAGGAAUACAUCGGAAUCUACUUUUUCGUGGGGGAUAACGUAGGGAAACUGACGCUAAUACCGCAUACGACCUACGGGUGAAAGCAGGGGAUCUUCGGACCUUGCGCGAUUGAAUGAGCCGAUGUCGGAUUAGCUAGUUGGCGGGGUAAAGGCCCACCAAGGCGACGAUCCGUAGCUGGCCUGAGGGGAUGAUCAGCCCAACUGGAACUGAGACACGGUCCCGACUCCUAAGGGAGGCAGCAGUGGGGAAUAUUGGAGAAUGGGCGCAAGCCUGAUCCAGCCAUACCGCGUGGGUGAAGAAGGCCUUCGGGUUGUAAAGCCCUUUUGUUGGGAAAGAAAAGCAGCAGGUUAAUACCCCGCUGUUCUGACGGUACCCAAAGCAUAAGCCCCGGCUAACUUCGUG